rnacentral:rRNA from 1 species
UACAGAGGGGGCAAGCGUUAUUCGGAAUUAUUGGGCGUAAAGGGCGCGUAGGCGGCUUGGCAAGUGGAAGGUGAAAUCCCUCGGCUUAACCGAGGAACUGCCCUCCAAACUGCUUUGCUUGAGGCCGGGAGAGGUGAGUGGAAUUCCCAAUGUAGCGGUGAAAUGCGUAGAUAUUGGGAGGAACACCAGUGGCGAAGGCGGCUCACUGGACCGGUUCUGACGCUGAGGCGCGAAAGCGUGGGGAGCAAACGGG